rnacentral:rRNA from 1 species
UACGUAGGGUGCAAGCGUUGUCCGGAAUUAUUGGGCGUAAAGAGCUCGUAGGCGGUUUGUUGCGUCGGCUGUGAAAUCCCGAGGCUCAACCUCGGGUCUGCAGUCGAUACGAGCAAACUAGAGUGUUGCAGGGGAGACUGGAAUUCCUGGUGUAGCGGUGAAAUGCGUAGAUAUCCGGAGGAACACCGGUGGCGAAGGCGGCAUCCUGGACCGGCAUUGACGCUGAGGCGCGAAAGCCAGGGGAGCAAACGGG